AUUUUCUUUCUUUCUUUUUCAGGUAUUUAUCAUCAUUGUAUGGAAACACACUGAUUUCUGUAUAUUGAUUUAUUUACUGCAGCUUUACUGUUUCUGUCAAUUCGUUCCAACAAUUUUUGAUGGAGCCUUUAAGAUAUAGUAUAUAUAAACGCAUAUCAUCUGCAGAGGCGAGGCUAUUUAGACGGAGAUCAGCAGCUACAUCCGCAGACAAAGGAGCCAGGGUGACCGAGUGCACAACCUUCUCAGCUGCAUGAAAGUGAAAAGUGAAAGUGAAGUCGCUCAGUCGUGUCCGACUCUUCACGACCCCAUGGACUGCAGCCUAUCAGGCUCCUCCGCCCAUGGGAUUUUUCCAGGCAAGAGUACUGGAGUGCGUUGCCAUUGUCUUAUCUGAACUGAUGCUGCAGGACCAUCAACGUAGCCAGAAAUCAAAAGAAAGAUAGACACUUCCAAGGAAAGACAAGAUGUGACCACAGCUUCAUAUGUGGCAGAGCACUUAAGGAAGAAAGGGUCUGGUCAUUAUUAUAUCUGAAGUAGAAAUUGUGAAGAUACCUGGAGAAGGCUAGUGGUGGGGACUAAAGUGGACCAUAUAGUAAGAAGCUAAGAACUCUGACAUCAUGUUUGGACCUAUGGACCCUAAAAGUAUCUGAAUAUGGAAUGGAACCUUUAAUUGCAGUGAAAAUUCAAUGAGAAGUUCAGGUUCAACAUGACACCUUAGGAGGACCCUAAAACUCACCUCUUCCCAUGGAUGUAACCAAAUCUAUAACUACAUAUGGAACAACUUAUUCUGGGAAGAAACCUGCCGAGUAACUCCUACACAUUGGUUGAACAAGAGAAAACUCACUUUGAAGUAAGUAGGAGAGGCUGCGUCACGAUGUCACCAUACACUCCGCACCUGGCAUGCUUGCUCCAGUGCGUGCUCAGUUGUGUCCAACUCUUUCUGUGACCUCAUGGACUACAGCCCACUUUUCUGUCCAUUCUUUCCUAGGAAAGAAUGCUGGAAUGGGUUGCUGUUUCCUACUCCAGGGUUAUCUUCCCAACCCAGAGACUUAAC
ensembl:lncRNA